AUUGAGAGUUUGAUCCUGGCUCAGGAUGAACGCUGGCGGCGUGCCUUAAGCAUGCAAGUCGAACGGGCCCGCAAGGGUCAGUGGCGGACGGUUGAGUAAUAGGCGGGAAUCUACCUCGAAGUGGGACAUAGCCAGCCGAAAGGUUGGGUAAUUUCCCAUGUGAUCGCAAGAUCAAAGCCGCAAGGCGCUUUGAGAUGAGCCUGCCUCCUAUCAGCUUGUUGGUGGGGUAAUGGCCUACCAAGGCAACGACGGGUAGCUGGUCUGAGAGGAUGGUCAGCCAGAGUGGGACUGCGACACGGCCCACACACCUACGGGUGGCAGCAACUAGGAAUCUUGGGCAAUGGGCGAAAGCCUGACCCAGCGACGCCGCGUGGAGGAUUGACGGCCUUCGGGUUGUAAACUCCUUUUAUCUGGGAAGAUUAUGACGGUACCAGAUGAAUAAGCACCUGCUAACUACGUGCCAGAAGCCUCGGUAAUACGUAGGGUGCAAGCGUUAUCCGGAUUUAUUGGGCGUAAAGAGUAGCGUAGGCGGUCCGAUGCAUUUUGCUUGAAAGCCCAUGGCUUAACCAUGGUUUUGGGCAAAAUAUGAUCGGACUUGAAGGUACAAUAGGGUGUUGGAACCGAUCGUGGAGCGGUGAAAUGCGUUGAUAUGAUCGGGAACGCCAAAGGUGUAGACAGACACCUGGUGUAUUCUUGACGCUUAGGCACGAAAGCUUGGGGAGCGAAGCAGAUUAGAGACCUGCGUAGUCCAAGCCGUAAACAAUGUCCGCUAGUUAUUGGCCUUUUUGGUCAGUGACGAAGUUAACACGUUAAGCGGACCGCCUGGGGAGUACGAGCGCAAGCUUAAAACUCAAAGGAAUUGACGGGGAGGCGCACAAGCAGUGGAGCGUGUGGUUUAAUUCGAUACCAAGCGAAGAACCUCACCAGGGCUUGACAUGCUAGAGUUCUAUCCCGCCGAAAGGCGGGAAAUCCGCAAGGAGGCUAGCACAGAUGCUGCAUGGCUGUCGUCAGCUCGUGGCGUGGGGUCUGAAAAAAGGCCCGCUGUAUCAUUAAGUUGAGUAACGAGCGCAACCCCCACCGUAUGUUGCAUUGUUCAUACGGAACAGGUCCGAUAUUAUUGGACAGGAAGGCGGGGAUGACGUCAAGUCAGCACGGCUCUUACGCCCUGGGCAACACACACCCUACAAUGGCGAAUAACAACGAGUUGCAAGCCGGUAACGGCAAGCUAAUCUCUGAAAUUUCGCCCCAGUUCAGAUCGAGGUCUGAAACCCGACCUCGUGAAGUCGGAAUUGCUAGUAAUCGCGAAUCAGCAGGUCGCGGUGAAUACGUUCUCGCCUCUUGUACACACGUCCUAUAGCCCGCCCGUCACGGCAGCAAAGUUGGGGGCACCCGAAGUCUGAUGUAUGUCGGACGAAGGUGAAACCAGCGAUGAGGCUGAAGUCGUAACAAGGUAUCCCUAGCCGAAGCUGGGGAUGGAUCACCUCCUU
rnacentral:rRNA from 1 species